rnacentral:rRNA from 1 species
GCAUGCCUAAGUACAGCUCGGUGGGGUAACCUACCGGGCGAAACCGCAGACGGCUCAUUAAAUCAGUUGUGGUCUAAGUGGGCUACAGUUCUCCUUAUUUGGAUAACUGUGGAAAAUCCAGAGCUAAUACAUGCGAUUAAAGUCCUCAGCCAAAGCUUUGCACUUGUGUACGGUGACUAACUGGGGAUGCUUUUAUUAGACCGAGGCGCGCGCACACGUAGUUUAGCGCUUGUCUUUACGGACGAGAAUGCGGCUGCUUGUGUGUCGCACGUAAGCGCUUUAAGGUGACUCUGAAUAACAUUGAUAAGCGUGCUUUAACUAGCACGCUGCCUACUUACGAGUGACUGCCCUAUCAGCUACUAACGUAUGUUAUACGCGAACGUUGGCUAUAACGGGUAACGGGGAAUCAGAGUUCGAUUCCGGAGAGGCAGCCUGAGAAACGGCUACCACGUCUAAGGACGGCAGCAGGCACGCAAAUUACCCAAUCCCAGCACAUGGGGGAGGUAGUGACGAUAGAUACUGAUGCGGGUCGUUCUUCGGAACACUCGCAAUUGGAAUGGCUAUUUUCUAAACACCCUAUCGAGAACCUACUGGAGGGCAAGCCUGGUGCCAGCAGCCGCGGUAAUUCCAGCUCCAGUGGCGUAUGCCAAUGUUGCUGCGGUUAAAAGGCUCGCAGUUGAAUGUCGGUUAAUAUACGCGUAGAGGUGCCGGGACGUUGCGAGCUUUGUUGCCUCGUGCAUCAUUGUGAGCCGUCUCUCCAGUGCAUCUCUCGCGGGCUAACGAUUAGAUUGACGGCACAGAGUGUUGCUCUUUCACGCAAGUGUUUGGGCUUCGCUCACACGUGUCGUCGGUUGACACCUUGAGUAAAUCAAGUGCUUAAAGCAGUCGUUGAAACACUAGGCUGCGACUUACCCUCUCGCGAGGCUAAAUCGUAUGUCUAUGG